rnacentral:rRNA from 1 species
GAUGAACGCUGGCGGCGUGCCUAAUACAUGCAAGUCGAGCGAACAGACGAGGAGCUUGCUCCUCUGACGUUAGCGGCGGACGGGUGAGUAACACGUGGAUAACCUACCUAUAAGACUGGGAUAACUUCGGGCAACCGGAGCUAAUACCGGAUAAUCUAUUGAACCGCAUGGUUCAAUAGUGAAAGACGGUUUUGCUGUCACUUAUAGAUGGAUCCGCGCCGCAUUAGCUAGUUGGUAAGGUAAAGGCUUACCAAGGCAACGAUGCGUAGCCGACCUGAGAGGGGGAUCGGCCACACGGGAACUGAGCAACGGUCCAGACUCCUACGGGAGGCAGCAGUAGGGAAUCUUCCGAAAUGGGCGAAAGCCUGACGGAGCAACGCCGCGUGAGUGAUGAAGUUCUUCGGAUCGUAAAACUCUGUUAUUAGGGAAGAACAAAUGUGUAAGUAACUAUGCACGUCUUGACGGUACCUAAUCAGAAAGCCACGGCUAACUACGUG